GAGUGCCUAAUAAUAAUAGUGUAAUUAGUUAUAAAAAUAAUAGAGUAAAUAGAGGAGAAAUGUAAUUAGUUAUAGAGAUGUGAUCAUGAAAAAAAUAGAGAAAAUAGAGGAGAAAUGUAACUUUUAUUUUAUAGGAAAAAUUAUGCAUGAGAAAGCACAAAAGUCAUGCUUGGAAAAAAGAAGUAUUAUGUUGUUCUAUAUGAUAUUAUGAUUUGGAAUAAGAAUUCCAAAUAUUUUUUCAUCAAAUUAACUCACGUGUGCCAAAGAAGAAAAUAUUUCACAUGGCUUAUCUUUAAAGGCAAAUGCCUUUAAAUUGGCUGCAUAAUCAUUCAAUACUCACUAAAAUAUUUCAUCUUUCAAUGUAUUUUGCUUUUAUGUGUGUGCCAUGCGCCAUUUGUAAUUGAUUUUGAAAAUUUAUACCAAAUCCUAUAAUUUGAUUCAACUAUUUAUUUGUAAAAUUAGAAUUUGAUUCCCAUUUAUCCUAUUUUCUACUUUAGCCAUAAAGCAUAAAAUUGCAAAUCUUCUCAAUCCUAACAUAACACUAACACAGACAAGUGCAUUAUCCCAAGCAAGUUCUUCAUUCUCUAAUUAUUGGAGCUAGAGCCAACCUUCUAUCCAAGACUAAGGCCUCAUCGCUAGAUAUUGUUUUUCAGUUUUCUUGAACUUAAAGCAUAGAAAUCAGAUCUUACAUAUGGUUCUAGCACAUAACCAAGUAUCACAUUUCCAGAACAUCUGUUGGUGAUCAAUGAACAGAUAACAAAGUAUCACAUUUCCAGUUUAUAUUCUGAUUUUUAGUGAUCAAUGAACAUCUGUUGGCUUGCCAAAAACCAGAACAUCAUCAUUUAGAUCAUCCCAAAUUUAUUUUAAAAGAAUGGAAAACGAGGAAAAACAUAAAGAAGUUGGACUAAUGAAAGAAAAUGCAUACCAAAUCAUCAUCUUCUGGAUUGU
rnacentral:misc_RNA from 1 species